rfam:Triticum urartu cultivar G1812 contig683233, whole genome shotgun sequence.
CACGUACUUCCUCCGUCCGAAAAUACUUGUCAUUGAAAUGGAUGUAUCUAGAUGUAUUUUAGUUUUAGAAACAUUCAUUUUGAUGACAAGUAAUUCCGGACAGGGGGAGUACGUA